rnacentral:rRNA from 1 species
CAGUCGAGCGGUAACAGGGGUAGCUUGCUGCCCGCUGACGAGCGGCGGACGGGUGAGUAAUGCAUAGGAAUCUGCCCGAUAGUGGGGGAUAACCUGGGGAAACCCAGGCUAAUACCGCAUACGUCCUACGGGAGAAAGGGGGCUCCGGCUCCCGCUAUUGGAUGAGCCUAUGUCGGAUUAGCUGGUUGGUGAGGUAAUGGCUCACCAAGGCAACGAUCCGUAGCUGGUCUGAGAGGAUGAUCAGCCACAUCGGGACUGAGACACGGCCCGAACUCCUACGGGAGGCAGCAGUGGGGAAUAUUGGACAAUGGGGGCAACCCUGAUCCAGCCAUGCCGCGUGUGUGAAGAAGGCCCUCGGGUUGUAAAGCACUUUCAGCGAGGAAGAACGCCUGGCGGUUAAUACCCGCCAGGAAAGACAUCACUCGCAGAAGAAGCACCGGCUAACUCCGUGCCAGCAGCCGCGGUAAUACGGAGGGUGCAAGCGUUAAUCGGAAUGACUGGGCGUAAAGCGCGCGUAGGUGGCUUGAUAAGCCGGUUGUGAAAGCCCCGGGCUCAACCUGGGAACGGCAUCCGGAACUGUCAGGCUAGAGUGCAGGAGAGGAAGGUAGAAUUCCCGGUGUAGCGGUGAAAUGCGUAGAGAUCGGGAGGAAUACCAGUGGCGAAGGCGGCCUUCUGGACUGACACUGACACUGAGGUGCGAAAGCGUGGGUAGCAAACAGGAUUAGAUACCCUGGUAGUCCACGCCGUAAACGAUGUCGACCAGCCGUUGGGUGCCUAGCGCACUUUGUGGCGAAGUUAAC